CCGCUUGCCUAGCUGAUAGUACGAGUCUUUUGCCUUUUACUGAAGACUCCCAUGGCUAGGCAUAACAGCCCACAGCAAUUUUUGGAAUGCUGAUCACUUCAGCGU